AGCNCCNCGGUAAUACGUAGGGUGCAAGCGUUGUCCGGAAUUAUUGGGCGUAAAGAGCUCGUAGGUGGUUUGUCGCGUCUGCUGUGAAAACCUUCCGCUCAACGGAAGGCCUGCAGUGGGUACGGGCAGACUAGAGUGCAGUAGAGGAGUCUGGAAUUCCUGGUGUAGCGGUGGAAUGCGCAGAUAUCAGGAGGAACACCGGUGGCGAAGGCGGGACUCUGGGCUGUUACUGACGCUGAGGAGCGAAAGCAUGGGGAGCGAACAGGAUUAGAUACCCUGGUAGUCCACGCCGUAAACGAUGAGUGCUAAGUGUUGGAGGGUUUCCGCCCUUCAGUGCUGCAGCAAACGCAUUAAGCACUCCGCCUGGGGAGUACGACCGCAAGGUUGAAACUCAAAUGAAUUGACGGGGGCCCGCACAAGCGGUGGAGCAUGUGGUUUAAUUCGAUGCAACGCGAAGAACCUUACCUACUCUUGACAUCCAGAGAACUUAGCAGAGAUGCUUUGGUGCCUUCGGGAACUCUGAGACAGGUGCUGCAUGGCUGUCGUCAGCUCGUGUUGUGAAAUGUUGGGUUAAGUCCCGCAACGAGCGCAACCCUUAUCCUUUGUUGCCAGCGGUUAGGCCGGGAACUCAAAGGAGACUGCCAGUGAUAAACUGGAGGAAGGUGGGGAUGACGUCAAGUCAUCAUGGCCCUUACGAGUAGGGCUACACACGUGCUACAAUGGCAUAUACAAAGAGAAGCGACCUCGCGAGAGCAAGCGGACCUCAUAAAGUAUGUCGUAGUCCGGAUUGGAGUCUGCAACUCGACUCCAUGAAGUCGGAAUCGCUAGUAAUCGUAGAUCAGAAUGCUACGGUGAAUACGUUCCCGGGCCUUGUACACACCGCCCGU
rnacentral:rRNA from 1 species